rnacentral:rRNA from 1 species
CCUACGGGAGGCAGCAGUGGGGGAUAUUGCACAAUGGGGGGAACCCUGAUCCAGCGACGCCGCGUGGGUGAAGGCGCGUUUCGGCGCGUAAAGCCCUAUCGGCCGUGAAGAAGGCGGCCGGUACCUGACUAAGAAGCCCCGGCUAACUACGUCCAAGCAGCCGCGGUAAUACGUAGGGGGCAAGCGUUGUCCGGAUUUACUGGGUGUAACGGGGGCGCAGACGGUAACGCAAGCCAGGAGUGAAAGCCCGGGGCACAACCCGGGGACUGCUCUUGAAACUGCGCGGCUGGAGUGCAGGAGGGGUAGGCGGAAUGCCUGGUGUAGCGGUGAAAUGCGUAGAGAUCAGGAGGAACACCGGUGGCGAAGGCGGCCUGCUGGGCUGCCACUGACAUUGAUGCACGAAAGCGUGGGUAUCAAACAGGAUUAGAUACCCUAGUAGUC